rnacentral:lncRNA from 1 species
GUGCGUUCUUAUGUUGUACUGUUAUACCACUGUCCCAGGUUAGGGGAGGGUUGGGAUCCCGCUAAAAUGUUUAACCCCGCCACAUUUUUUAUGUAUGUGUCUGCCCCAAGUCAGGAGCCUGUAAAUCAGUGGUUGGCGGUUAGUUUAUGUGUUACAUAUUUGGUUUUCGUUUAUCUUUUUUAUUUAAAAAAGGCCGUUAGUUUUCUCGUUUGAAUUUUUUUACAUUGUCAUAUCGGGGCCUUUUAUAGCUGACUAUGCGGUAUGGGCUUUGCUCAUUGUUGAUGGCCGAACGGUGACCUUUAGUUGCUAAUGUAUGUGUCAUUUU